rnacentral:rRNA from 1 species
GAGUUUGAUCGUGGCUCAGAGCGAACGCUGGCGGCAGGCCUAACACAUGCAAGUCGAACGGACCCUUCGGGGUUAGUGGCGGACGGGUGAGUAACACGUGGGAACGUGCCUUUAGGUUCGGAAUAGCUCCUGGAAACGGGUGGUAAUGCCGAAUGUGCCCUUCGGGGAAAGGAUUAUCGCCUUAGAGCGGCCCGCGUCUGAUUAGCUAGUUGGUGAGGUAACGGCUCACCAAGGCGACGAUCAGUAGCUGGUCUGAGAGGAUGACCAGCCACACUGGGACUGAGACACGGCCCAGACUCCUACGGGAGGCAGCAGUGGGGAAUCUUGCGCAAUGGGCGAAAGCCUGACGCAGCCAUGCCGCGUGAAUGAUGAAGGUCUUAGGAUUGUAAAAUUCUUUCACCGGGGACGAUAAUGACGGUACCCGGAGAAGAAGCCCCGGCUAACUUCGUGCCAGCAGCCGCAGU